AGUGAACGCUGGCGGUAGGCCUAACACAUGCAAGUCGAACGGCAGCACAGUAAGAGCUUGCUCUUACGGGUGGCGAGUGGCGGACGGGUGAGGAAUACAUCGGAAUCUACUUUUUCGUGGGGGAUAACGUAGGGAAACUUACGCUAAUACCGCAUACGACCUACGGGUGAAAGCAGGGGAUCUUCGGACCUUGCGCGAUUGAAUGAGCCGAUGUCGGAUUAGCUAGUUGGCGGGGUAAAGGCCCACCAAGGCGACGAUCCGUAGCUGGUCUGAGAGGUUGUUCAGCCCACCUGAAACUGGGACCCGGUCCAGACCCCUACGGAAGGCGGCGUUGGGGACUUUUGGACAAUGGGCGCAACCUGAUCCAGCCAUACCGCGUGGGUGAAGAAGGCCUUCGGGUUGUAAAGCCCUUUUGUUGGGAAAGAAAAGCAGCAGGUUAAUACCCCGCUGUUCUGACGGUACCCAAAGAAUAAGCACCGGCUAACUUCGUG
rnacentral:rRNA from 1 species